AUUGAACGCUGGCGGCAGGCCUAACACAUGCAAGUCGAACGAGUGGCGGACGGGUGAGUAAUGUCUGGGAAACUGCCUGAUGGAGGGGGAUAACUACUGGAAACGGUAGCUAAUACCGCAUACCAUGGGAUGUGCCCAGAUGGGAUUAGCUAUUAGGUGGGGUAAAGGCUCAGCUAGUCGACGAUCCCUAGCUGGUCUGAUAGGAUGAUCAGUCACAUUGGGACUGAGAGAAGGUCCAGACUCCUACGGGAGGCAGCAGUGGAGAAUAUUGCACAAUGGGCGCAAGCCUGAUGCAGGGCUGCAGCGUGUAUGAAGCAGGCUUUCGGGUUGUAAAGUAAUUUCAGCGGGGAGGCGUUACCCGCAGAAGGAGCACCGGCUAACUCCGUGCCAGCAGCCGCGGUAAUAG
rnacentral:rRNA from 1 species